rnacentral:sRNA from 1 species
GUCGUGAGAUGUUGGGUUAAGUCCCGCAACGAGCGCAACCCUUGUCCUAUGUUGCCAGCGGGUAAUGCCGGGGACUCGUAGGAGACUGCCGGGGUCAACUCGGAGGAAGGUGGGGAUGAGGUCAAGUCAUCAUGCCCCUUACGUCCAGGGCUGCACACAUGCUACAAUGGCCGGUACAACGGGUCGCUAUCCCGCGAGGGGGAGCCAAUCCCAAAAGCCGGUCUCAGUUCGGAUUGCAGUCUGCAACUCGACUGCAUGAAGUCGGAGUCGCUAGUAAUCCCGGAUCAGCAACGCCGGGGUGAAUACGUUCCCGGGCCUUGUACACACCGCCCGUCACACCACGAAAGUCGGUAACACCCGAAGCCGGUGGCCCAACCCUUGGGAGGGAGCCGUCGAAGGUGGGAUCGGCGAUUGGGGUGAAGUCGUAACAAGGUAGCCGUACCGGAAGGUGCGGCUGGAUCACCUCCUUUCUAAGGAGUCAAUAUCGGUCCAUUCCGGACCGGUGAAACUCCCAGUCGAUCACUGGCUACUCGGCAUAUCAGAUAUCCCGGUGCUCGCCGGUCCUGCAAUCUCCGUUCUUUUUGCGGUUAUUGCCCCGUCCUUAGGGACAUCGUCCUUAGGGACAUCGGCCGGCCCCACUGGGCUCUACCUGAUAAGUCGGGCAUCACUAUUCCGUUUUGAGGGAGCGACCCUCCAUGGCUUUCGAGCCUGGUGGCAAGUUCCCGCGAUGCCGGCGCCUCUAUAUCGGGCGGCCGGCCUCUCGUCGCUCCGUGGCACGGCCUUCGAGCUUGCACGGCCCCUGUUUCUUCAGGAUUCAUUUCUCUAGAAAUCGGUGUCUUGCGGGUCUUCGGGUUACGGCACAAAAGCGUACGUUCCUUGAGAAUUCUAUAGCGAGCACGAGCAUCUUUGUUUUUCAAGCUACGAAGAGCCAACGGUGGAUGCCUUGGCGCCUGAAGCCGAAGAAGGACGUGGGAGGCUGCGAUAAGCCACGGGGAGCUGCCGACCGAGCCUCGAUCCGUGGAUGU